rnacentral:rRNA from 1 species
CGGCGGACGGGUGAGGAAUACAUCGGGAAUCUACUCUGUCGUGGGGGAUAACGUAGGGAAACUUACGCUAAUACCGCAUACGACCUACGGGUNAAGCAGGGACCUUCGGGCCUUGCGCGAUUGAAUGAGCCGAUGUCGGAUUAGCUAGUUAGGCGGGGUAAAGGCCCACCAAGGCGACGAUCCGUAGCUGGUCUGAGAGGAUGAUCAGCCACACUGGAACUGAGACACGGUCCAGACUCCUACGGGAGGCAGCAGA